rnacentral:rRNA from 1 species
AACGCUGGCGGCGUGCCUAAUACAUGCAAGUAGAACGCUGAAGCUUGGUGCUUGCACCGAGCGGAUGAGUUGCGAACGGGUGAGUAACGCGUAGGUAACCUGCCUCUUAGCGGGGGAUAACUAUUGGAAACGAUAGCUAAUACCGCAUAAAAGUCGAUAUCGCAUGAUAUUGAUUUGAAAGGUGCAAAUGCAUCACUAAGAGAUGGACCUGCGUUGUAUUAGCUAGUUGGUGAGGUAACGGCUCACCAAGGCGACGAUACAUAGCCGACCUGAGAGGGUGAUCGGCCACACUGGGACUGAGACACGGCCCAGACUCCUACGGGAGGCAGCAGUAGGGAAUCUUCGGCAAUGGGGGCAACCCUGACCGAGCAACGCCGCGUGAGUGAAGAAGGUUUUCGGAUCGUAAAGCUCUGUUGUAAGAGAAGAACGAGUGUGAGAGUGGAAAGUUCACGCUGUGACGGUAUCUUACCAGAAAGGGACGGCUAACUACGUGCCAGCAGCCGCGGUAAUACGUAGGUCCCGAGCGUUAUCCGGAUUUAUUGGGCGUAAAGCGAGCGCAGGCGGUUAGAUAAGUCUGAAGUUAAAGGCUGUGGCUUAACCAUAGUACGCUUUGGAAACUGUUUAACUUGAGUGCAGAAGGGGAGAGUGGAAUUCCAUGUGUAGCGGUGAAAUGCGUAGAUAUAUGGAGGAACACCGGUGGCGAAAGCGGCUCUCUGGUCUGUAACUGACGCUGAGGCUCGAAAGCGUGGGGAGCAAACAGGAUUAGAUAUCCUGGUAGUCCACGCCGUAAACGAUGAGUGCUAGGUGUUGGGUCCUUUCCGGGACUCAGUGCCGCAGCUAACGCAUUAAGCACUCCGCCUGGGGAGUACGA